AGGAAAAGAAACCAACAGGGAUUGCCCCAGUAACGGCGAGUGAAGCGGCAACAGCUCAAAUUUGAAAUCUGGCCCCCAGGGCCCGAGUUGUAAUUUGCAGAGGAUGCUUUUGGCGCGGUGCCUUCCGAGUUCCCUGGAACGGGACGCCAUAGAGGGUGAGAGCCCCGUCUGGUCGGACGCCUAGCCUGUGUAAAGCUCCUUCGACGAGUCGAGUAGUUUGGGAAUGCUGCUCUAAAUGGGAGGUAUAUGUCUUCUAAAGCUAAAUACCGGCCAGAGACCGAUAGCGCACAAGUAGAGUGAUCGAAAGAUGAAAAGCACUUUGAAAAGAGGGUUAAAUAGUACGUGAAAUUGUUGAAAGGGAAGCGCUUGUGACCAGACUUGGGCCCGGUGGAUCAUCCAGCGUUCUCGCUGGUGCACUCCGCCGGGUUCAGGCCAGCAUCAGUUCGCCGCGGGGGAAAAAGGCUUCGGGAACGUGGCUCCUACGGGAGUGUUAUAGCCCGUUGCAUAAUACCCUGGGGCGGACUGAGGUUCGCGCUCCGCAAGGAUGCUGGCGUAAUGGUCAUCAGCGAC
rnacentral:rRNA from 1 species